GACGAACGCUGGCGGCGUGCUUAACACAUGCAAGUCGAACGGAAAGGCCCUGCUUUUGUGGGGUGCUCGAGUGGCGAACGGGUGAGUAACACGUGAGUAACCUGCCCUUGACUUUGGGAUAACUUCAGGAAACUGGGGCUAAUACCGGAUAGGAGCUCCUGCUGCAUGGUGGGGGUUGGAAAGUUUCGGCGGUUGGGGAUGGACUCGCGGCUUAUCAGCUUGUUGGUGGGGUAGUGGCUUACCAAGGCUUUGACGGGUAGCCGGCCUGAGCGGGUGACCGGCCGCAUUGGGACUGAAAUACGGCCCAGACUCCUACGGGAGGCAGCAGUGGGGAAUAUUGCACAAUGGGCGGAAGCCUGAUGCAGCAACGCCGCGUGCGGGAUGACGGCCUUCGGGUUGUAAACCGCUUUCGCCUGUGACGAAGCGUGAGUGACGGUAAUGGGUAAAGAAGCACCGGCUAACUACGUG
rnacentral:rRNA from 1 species